rnacentral:rRNA from 1 species
AGAGUUUGAUCAUGGCUCAGGAUGAACGCUGGCGGUAUGCCUAACACAUGCAAGUCGAACGAUGUCUUCGGACAUAGUGGCGGACGGGUGAGUAACGCGUGAGAAUCUGCCUCUAGGAUGGGGAUAACGGUUGGAAACGACCGCUAACACCCAAUAUGCCGUAAGGUGAAAAAUUUAUUGCCUGGAGAGGAGCUCGCGUCUGAUUAGCUAGUUGGUGGGGUAAGAGCUCACCAAGGCUUCGAUCAGUAGCUGGUCUGAGAGGAUGAGCAGCCACACUGGGACUGAGACACGGCCCAGACUCCUACGGGAGGCAGCAGUGGGGAAUUUUCCGCAAUGGGCGAAAGCCUGACGGAGCAAUACCGCGUGAGGGAGGAAUGCCUUUGGGUUGUAAACCUCUUUUCUCAGGGAAGAAGAUCUGACGGUACCUGAGGAAUAAGUAUCGGCUAACUCCGUGCCAGCAGCCGCGGUAAUACGGAGGAUGCAAGCGUUAUCCGGAAUCAUUGGGCGUAAAGCGUCCGCAGGUGGUUUCCAAAGUCUGCUGUUAAAGACUGGAGCUCAACUCCGGAACGGCGGUGGAAACUUGGAAACUAGAGUUCGGUAGGGGUAGCAGGAAUUCCCAGUGUAGCGGUGAAAUGCGUAGAUAUUGGGAAGAACAUCGGUGGCGAAGGCGUGCUACUGGACCGUAACUGACACUCAGGGACGAAAGCUAGGGGAGCGAAAGGGAUUAGAUACCCCUGUAGUCCUAGCUGUAAACGAUGGAAACUAGGUGUGGCUUGUAUCGACCCGAGCCGUGCCGUAGCUAACGCGUUAAGUUUCCCGCCUGGGGAGUACGCACGCNAGUGUGAAA